CCUACGGGGGGCUGCAGUGGGGAAUAUUGGACAAUGGGCGAAAGCCUGAUCCAGCCAUGCCGCGUGUGUGAAGAAGGCCUUCGGGUUGUAAAGCACUUUCAGUGGGGAAGAAAGCCUUGGGGCUAAUACCCUCGAGGAAGGACAUCACCCACAGAAGAAGCACCGGCUAACUCCGUGCCAGCAGCCGCGGUAAUACGGAGGGUGCGAGCGUUAAUCGGAAUUACUGGGCGUAAAGCGCUCGUCGGCGGUCUGAUAAGCCGGUUGUGAAAGCCCCGGGCUCAACCUGGGAACGGCAUCCGGAACUGUCAGGCUAGAGUGCAGGAGAGGAAGGUAGAAUUCCCGGUGUAGCGGUGAAAUGCGUAGAGAUCGGGAGGAAUACCAGUGGCGAAGGCGGCCUUCUGGACUGACACUGACGCUGAGGUGCGAAAGCGUGGGUAGCAAACAGGAUUAGAUACCCCUGUAGUC
rnacentral:rRNA from 1 species